rnacentral:rRNA from 1 species
GUGGGGAAUCUUAGACAAUGGGCGCAAGCCUGAUCUAGCCAUGCCGCGUGAGUGAUGAAGGCCCUAGGGUUGUAAAGCUCUUUCAGCUGGGAAGAUAAUGACGGUACCAGCAGAAGAAGCCCCGGCUAACUCCGUGCCAGCAGCCGCGGUAAUACGGAGGGGGCUAGCGUUGUUCGGAAUUGCUGGGCGUAAAGCGCGCGUAGGCGGACUGAAAAGUUGGGGGUGAAAUCCCGGGGCUCAACCUCGGAACUGCCUUCAAAACUAUCAGUCUGGAGUUCGGGAGAGGUGAGUGGAAUUCCGAGUGUAGAGGUGAAAUUCGUAGAUAUUCGGAGGAACACCAGUGGCGAAGGCGGCUCACUGGCUCGAUACUGACGCUGAGGUGCGAAAGCGUGGGGAGCAAACAGGAUUAGAAACCCGGGUAGUCC